rnacentral:lncRNA from 1 species
AUGCCUCUUUCCGACAACAUUCUGUCCUUGUACAUUGUGGAAAUUGUACACCUUCUGCCUAUGAAGGUUAAUAUGACAAGCUGGCCUGUGCUACUCGCUGACAUCCCUGGUCCCAGGCAUCGUUCCCUGGAAAGCAGGCUCACGUGGAAGGGAAGAUUUCAAUCUUGGGGCUAUAUCUAUGCCAUGUAUGUAUUAAAGGAGAAUGCCAAUACCCCUGCAGACCGUGGAGGUGUCAGUACUCUUGAAGAGACUGGGCACAAAGAACCACGCGGCGGAGGAUAAGGAACUCCAGUCCAUAUAAGCCAGGUGGCUGUCCCUGACCAGCUGUGUCGACGAUCCAAUGCAAUUUCAUGAUGGAGUUUUCCAAGGACCCAACUCUUGGGUGUGGGUGUGUUCCCAGUUGGCUUCCAUGUCCAUACUUCAUCCUCCACAGCAGGUGCCUGUGGCUCUAGAGGGUGGCUUGGAGGCCCCAGCAUUAGAAGGACUAGACCAUCAGGAGUAUCCUUGUCUAAUGGGAGAGAUGAAGGGACCGCUCCCCUGACCGUUUUUAAGAAGGGUUCCCUUGCCUCCCUCCACAGGUGUGAUUACUUUACUAGAGAAGCUCACAGAACUGAGAGAAACAUCUAUUUAUGUUUACCAGUUUAUUCAAGGAUAUGAUAAAGAUAGAGAUGAAGAGCUAGAUGGCGAUACAUAGGGUGAGGUCUGGGAGGGUCCUGUGUACAGCAGCUUCUGUCCUCGUGGAGAUGGAGUGCAUCUCUUUCUCUCUGUGGAUUGUUCAUCUGUGUGGAAGCUCUCUAAACCUUGCACUCUUGAGACUCGUGGAGGCUUGCUUACCUAGACAUGAUCGAUUAUUAUCUAUGUGUCAAGCCCCUCUCCCCUCACUAGAUGGGGGAAUGGGGCAGCAAAUUCCAUGUUUCUAAUCCUGGCUUGGUCUUUCUGGUGAGAAUAAAAGAUGCUCCUAGAGCUUUUAUCUCCUAGGAUAUUAUAAGAGUUUUCGGAGCUCUGUCAGGGGCUGGGAGCAGAGACCAAUCUCUAUAUUUUCUAGUAUGUCACAGACAUAAAUCAGGAAUUCUGGAGGACCAGCAUCCU